CCUACGGGGGGCAGCAGUGGGGGAUAUUGCACAAUGGGGGAACCCUGAUGCAGCGACGCCGCGUGAGCGAUGGAGUACUUCGGUAUGUAAAGCUCUGUCAGCAGGGAAGAAAAUGACGGUACCUGACCAAGAAGCCCCGGCUAAAUACGUGCCAGCAGCCGCGGUAAUACGUAUGGGGCAAGCGUUAUCCGGAUUUACUGGGUGUAAAGGGUGCGUAGGUGGUUCAGCAAGUUAGUAGCGUAAUUCCGGAGCUCAACUUCGGCACUACUACUAAAACUGUUGGACUUGAGUGCAGGAGGGGCAACUGGAAUUUCUAGUGUAGCGGUGGAAUGCGUAGAUAUUAGGAAGAACACCGGUGGCGAAGGCGAGUUGCUGGACUGUAACUGACACUGAGGCACGAAAGCGUGGGGAGCAAACAGGAUUAGAUACCCGAGUAGUC
rnacentral:rRNA from 1 species